ensembl:scaRNA
UUUGGAGGAAUAAGAAAGUAGAGCCAGUCAAAUCAAUUGGCUUUAUUGAUACUGUCCUCCUAAAUUAAAUGGCAAUGGAACAAGGUCUGGUCUACAAGAUGUACCUAGACUUUACUGCAGUCUGCCAACAAUA